GGACCCGCACAAGUAGUGGAGCAUGUGGUUUAAUUCGAAGAUACGCGCAGAACCUUACCAACACUUGACAUGUUCGUCGCGACUCUAAGAGAUUAGAGUUUUCGGUUCGGCCGGACGAAACACAGGUGCUGCAUGGCUGUCGUCAGCUCGUGUCGUGAGAUGUUGGGUUAAGUCCCGCAACGAGCGCAACCCUCACUUUUAGUUGCCAUCAUUUAGUUGGGCACUCUGAAAGAACUGCCAGUGAUAAGCUGGAGGAAGGUGGGGAUGACGUCAAGUCCUCAUGGCCCUUACGUGUUGGGCUACACACGUGCUACAAUGGUAUCUACAACAGGAAGCAAGACGGCGACGUUAAGCAAAUCCUUAAAAGAUACCUCAGUUCGGAUUGCACUCUGCAACUCGAGUGCAUGAAGCUGGAAUUACUAGUAAUCG
rnacentral:rRNA from 1 species